rnacentral:rRNA from 1 species
UACGGGGGGGGUAAGCGUUGUUCGGAAUUACUGGGCGUAAAGGGCUCGUAGGCGGCCAACUAAGUCAGACGUGAAAUCCCUCAGCUUAACUGGGGAACUGCGUCUGAUACUGGAUGGCUUGGAUUUGGGAGAGGGAUGCGGAAUUCCAGGUGUAGCGGUGAAAUGCGUAGAUAUCUGGAGGAACACCGGUGGCGAAGGCGGCAUCCUGGACCAACAUUGACGCUGAGGAGCGAAAGCCAGGGGAGCAAAGCGGG